rnacentral:rRNA from 1 species
UACGUAGGGUGCGAGCGUUGUCCGGAAUUAUUGGGCGUAAAGAGCUCGUAGGCGGUGUGUCGUGCGGUCGUGAAAACUUGGGGCUUAACCCUGAGCGUGCGGUCGAUACGGGCAUCACUUGAGUUCGGCAGGGGAGACUGGAAUUCCUGGUGUAGCGGUGAAAUGCGCAGAUAUCAGGAGGAACACCGGUGGCGAAGGCGGGUCUCUGGGCAACAACUGACG